GCGAACGCUGGCGGCAGGCCUAACACAUGCAAGUCGAGCGCCCCGCAAGGGGAGCGGCAGACGGGAGAGUAACACGUGGGAACAUGCCCUUCAGUACGGAACAACCAAGGGAAACUUUGGCUAAUACCGUAUACGCCCGUAAGGGGAAAGAUUUAUCGCUGAAGGAUUGGCCCGCGUCUGAUUAGCUAGUUGGUGGGGUAAUGGCCCACCAAGGCGACGAUCAGUAGCUGGUCUGAGAGGAUGAUCAGCCUCACUGGGACUGAGACACGGCCCAGACUCCUACGGGAGGCAGCAGUGGGGAAUAUUGGACAAUGGGCGCAAGCCUGAUCCAGCCAUGCCGCGUGAGUGAUGAAGGCCUUAGGGUUGUAAAGCUCUUUCGUCAGGGAAGAUAAUGACGGUACCUGAAGAAGAAGCCCCGGCUAACUUCGU
rnacentral:rRNA from 1 species